GACGAACGCUGGCGGCGUGCCUAACACAUGCAAGUCGAACGGAGCACUUCGGUGCUUAGUGGCGAACGGGUGAGUAACGCGUGAGAAACCUGCCUUUCAGUGGGGGACAACAGUGGGAAACUACUGCUAAUACCGCAUAAUGUGAUUUGGGGGCAUCCCCGAGUAACCAAAGAUUUAUUGCUGAAAGAUGGUCUCGCGUCUGAUUAGCUAGUUGGUGAGGUAACGGCUCACCAAGGCGACGAUCAGUAGCCGGUCUGAGAGGAUGAACGGCCACAUUGGGACUGAGAUACGGCCCAGACUCCUACGGGAGGCAGCAGUGGGGAAUAUUGGGCAAUGGGCGAAAGCCUGACCCAGCAACGCCGCGUGAAGGAAGAAGGCCUUCGGGUUGUAAACUUCUUUUACCAGGGACGAACAAAUGACGGUACCUGGAGAAAAAGCAACGGCUAACUACGUGCCAGCCGCCGCAGUAACAC
rnacentral:rRNA from 1 species